rnacentral:rRNA from 1 species
GUGAACGCUGGCGGUAGGCCUAACCCAUGCCAGUCGAACGGCAGCACAGUAAGAGCUUGCUCUUACGGGUGGCGAGUGGCGGACGGGUGAAGAAUACAUCGGAAUCUACUUUUUCGUGGGGGAUAACGUAGGGAAACUUACGCUAAUACCGCAUACGACCUACGGGUGAAAGCAGGGGAUCUUCGGACCUUGCGCGAUUGAAUGAGCCGAUGUCGGAUUAGCUAGUUGGCGGGGUAAAGGCCCACCAAGGCGACGAUCCGUAGCUGGUCUGAGAGGAUGAUCAGCCACACUGGAACUGAGACACGGUCCAGACUCCUACGGGAGGCAGCAGUGGGGAAUAUUGGACAAUGGGCGCAAGCCUGAUCCAGCCAUACCGCGUGGGUGAAGAAGGCCUUCGGGUUGUAAAGCCCUUUUGUUGGGAAAGAAAAGCAGCAGGUUAAUACCCCGCUGUUCUGACGGUACCCAAAGAAUAAGCACCGGCUAACUUCGUG